UUUUUUUUUUUUGGCUGCCCUUUGGAGUCUGGAGUUCCCAAGCCAGGGAUCAGAUCUGAGCCACAGUCGUGACUUAGCUAGGUCAUUUUUCCUCAUAGGACCUAUCAUCUGAAAGUACCUUAUUUAUUUAUUUACCAUUUGCUUUCUUCCCUGGAAUGUGAAUUCCCCAAGAAAAGGAACUUUCUCCACUUUUGUCCAUUGCUGAAUCUCCAGUACACAGAAUACCGUCACACUCCUCCUCCUCCAAAUCUGUAUGACCUUGGAAAAUUUUCUUAAUAUCUCUGUGUCUCCGUUGGAUUGUAAAGAUCAAAUUCAUUAAUUCAUGUCAAGUGCUUUCAAAAGGACCUGGCAUACAAUUAGUGCUCAAUAGCUUAGUUAUUAUUACUCUUAUAUAGGCACUAGAUAAAUAUUAGUUGAACGAAUGAGAAUUUAAAAAGCUUAAUCUCAAAGAUGUGGUGUAAUCACCCUCUAAAUUGGAACAUGAUGAUAGGAGGGCUUGUCUUAUUCAAAAGAAAUACAUUUUUAAGAGGAGAAGUGGAGUAGUGCCAAUAGAAGAAUAUUAACCUCUGCACAGAAAUCUUCAUUUCCUGAGGAAAGAAGCACCCUAGAAAACACUGAGUAGAAAAAACAGUAACGGUGGCCAUUCUGGUGUACUCAUUAUGGCACAGGAAUUAGACAUGAACAAGACAGGUGAGGUUCCUGUUCUUGUCAGCAGUGACAGAGACUUCAACCAUCCAUGAAUAAGCCACAUAAUUUAUUUGGCCAAAAGCCAACCAUGUAACAGGUGCUUGAAGAUCAUUAAUGACAUUUAAUCUCCAAAGUAGCAAGGAAACAAUGGGAGGAAGUGACCGCUUUGGACCUAGUUCUGACAACGAGAAUUGAUGUAAUGUAAACUUUACAAGUGACCAUGUUAUCUUGACUUUUAUUUUUUUCAAGGACAGCAUGAAUUGUAUACUCUAUGUGAGUGUCUUCAAAAUGUUUAGAGGAAAGAUAUGCAUUAUUCAUGGCAUGAGACUCCUAAAGAGAUGAUGACUCAAAAGUGUUAUGAUGUUCUCAAAAAUGCAAUUUUGAGUGCAAUUGCAAAUGAUAAAAUAAGGAUAAAAGUAGGAAGAAAACUUUUAAGAAAUGUAGCUACAGAUUUUUUAAAAGAAAAAUUGCAAUUGAAAAGUAUCCCCAUCGAUCUUAUUCGUCAUCUUGGUAAAUGCAGUUCCAACAAUGUAGCAUAGAGUUAAAAGAAUUGUCAGAUGAAUGAACAAAUGAACAUUGAAUAUGAGUGUGGUAGGGCCAGACAGACUCAUAUCAGAAUGACCAAGGUCUCAAGUGAGCUAGGAUUUGAGAAAAAAAUUAAAAUACCAAAGUAACUUAAUACUUUUAUUUGGAGCAAGAGAAGGUCAUAAGUUUGAGCUAAUGAUAGAAUAAUGAUACAGUGUUUUUCAAUCUCUAAAACUGAGACUAAACACGAUUAGGAAGAAAUUAAAAACCCAAUAAGGCUUUCUUGGUCAGCACCUAAAUGAAUGCAUAUCCCCUAACAAGGAUGAAUUUCAAGCCACAUUAGGAAAAUAAUUUGUAAUGGAGAUCUCUGGGUACUAAGAGCAGUAUUAGAAGAUUAGGACUACAGGAAAGAGCUAAAACAGUCAAUUCCAAAAUCUACAGAAAGAUGAACUGUGGUUGAUUCCUGCUACAUUCUGAAUGAUUGAUCAAAAAAGCAAAUACUGGAGCUCCCUUGUGGCCAAGUAGUUAAGGAUUUGGUGAUGUCACUGCUCCGCUGUAGCUCGAUUCGGUCUCCUGGCUCAGGAACAUCUGCAAGCCGUGGGCAUGGACAGAUAUAUAUAUAUACACUACCACGUUUCCCUCUUUGAUACUACUAUUAAUCUGAUAAGCCAUUAUUAAUCUGGUAGAUCAAGAAGGUUUACACUGUUCAUGAAUUGAUCAGAAUGGCUUUGAGACAGUCUGGAAUAAUAAGGUUCGGAUACUAGCUUCAUUUGGUGAAUUCGCCAUUGCCUAUGUCAAUAUACCCUUACUUCCUAGUGGUGAGAAGACUCCUGGUCACCUUAUAGCACCACUCCUCCCACUUAUAUCUCGGUCCCGGUUUAUUUUUUUCUCCCAAACACCUGUCACUCUCUAAGCUACUUUAUUGUUUAUCUCAUAUAGUUUCUGUCUCCCCCCCUUAAAUGGAAAUUCUAUAAGGAUAAGUAUUUGAAUCCAUUGGGUUCAGUGCUUUAUGCUCAAUACCAAGCACAGUGCCCUGACUGAGUAUUCAGUGAAUAUUUUCUUGACUGACUGAAUGAAUGAAUGACUCUUGAAACAUGGUGUCUAAUGCAUGCCAAUGAAGAAGGAUAUAGGCCCACUAAAUUUUUUUUUUUUUUGAGGGGGACACAGUCAAGGACAGAACUUCAAAUCACAUCCCACAAAUAGAAGAAUCAAAUGAGUAUUUUUAGUCUAGGAAAAAGGAGACAUGAAGGGUGGGAAAAGGAGGAUGGAAGUUGGUUUGAUAUAGUAGAAAGCUUCAAAUAUCUGGGCUCUAUUAUGAAAAGGGAUUAUCCUAUUGUUUCUAUUUUUAAAUGAUCAACUGAUAUAAAUAAAUGGAAGUGACAGUUCGAUUUCACCUCUGUUUCACACACUCCAAGCUUUCCAGUGAUGGUCCUGGCUGCCACUGAAGGAGGGAGUUUCUCUUUUUCAAGGGUUUAAGAUGAAUAAAAAAUUUGUAGUGAUGGUGGUUAGACUAGAUAACAUUAAUAUUAUGCCAGACUACGAUGCUUUUAUUCUGUGAAUUAAAUCAGAUAGCUUCCUUGUGCCAAAUGUAUCCUUUGGAAAAAUGGACACAGAGAAUAUAUUUACAAGUAAAGCAUAGGAAAUAAACUCAAUAGCUUAAAAAUACAAAUCUGACUUAGUAAUUUGUCCAGCUUUUUAAAUCACCUGAAAAAGUUUUAAGACCUAUAAGUGUUCCAUUAUAUGAAAAAAAUUCCCAAUUUCUGAGGGCUGCAGGUGCGGCAUAUGGAAGUUCCCAGGCUAGGGGUUGAAUCGGAGCUACAGCUAGCUGCCGGCCUAUGCCAAGCCACAGCAACACCAUAUCUGAGCCCUGUGUCUGCAACCUACACCACAGCUCAUGGCAACACUGGAUCCUUAACCCACUGAGCAAGGCCAGGGAUCAAACCCUCAUCCUCACAGACACUAUGUUGGGUUCUUAACCCACCGAGCCACAAUGGGAACUCCCUCCCAGUUUUUGAUAUUAAUCUUCUGUGCCCCUCUUUCCUUUUCUUUCCUUUUUUCUCUUCAAUGUACCAUCCACACAUGCAGAGUUCUAAUCACUGUAAAGGCUACUGACUCAUAUUUCCAGAAUUCCCUCAAUCUUUUCCCAGAUUUAAGUUAAAAAGAAAGGCUAAAGCGUUCUGCUUGAACAUCUCCUCUUAAUAUACAAAAAAAUUGUAGAUUGAAAAAGAUUAGUAUAGUACUCCAACUUUCUUUCAAAAGCUGAGAUUCCAUGCUGCCACCCUUUCUGUCAAUGUCAAAGGACCCACAUGUGUCCUGAAGGAAACUUUGUGUCAGGUAGAGACCCUGGGGAUUCUUUACAUCUUCCCAUAAGCCAAGUAAAAUGCUUCAAUUAAAGCAAUUGGUAUGCAAUAAAUGUUGACUGUCAGAUACAUAGUUUUCUGAAAACCUGGCAGAAGGUUGCUUUAGAAGAACUUGUCUCCACACUAGCUUCUUCAGUUUUGAAGGUCCCAAAAGACUUUUAUAAAGGGAAAUAAAAGAUUAUUUAAAUAAACUAAUAUAUUAAUAAUCAUGCUACUAAUGGAGCUCAUAGGAUUAGAACUGUCCUACUUAAUUUGGAUUGCUUUUAAUAGAUGUGACUUUUCUAAUUUUCUGGAGAAUGGUUCUGUAUUUAACACAUUCAUCAACUGUGAUCAUCUUCUUCCCUUCAACUUUAGAUAAAAUUGCGCUAAUUCCCAUUCCACAUUCUAUUGAAAGUCUAAUGCCAGGCUUCAGAAAAAGGUAAGGUGGGAAUGUGUGUUUGGGAUGAGGAGGGUAGCAGCUUAUGUUUAUGCUACUUCCAAAUUCAUCUACAUCCAAACUCUUACUUCUGCUAGACUAACUCAGCGUGUGGUUCAUCUCAUGGUCUCUGCAAACUGUCAAGUCCUACACCUACCACAUGAGCAAUUUGGUCCCUUUCCUUUAUUUCUGUUGAAACACAAGGAGGAAACAAAGAAACAAAAAGGAGGGUUCAGCUAUCCUUUUAUGUAAAUAGACUUCACAGAAGUUUUUGGAAUAACAGAGGGGAUUUACAGAACACACACACACACAAACAUACAUACAUACACCCCUCGCAAAACUUAACAUUAGACAUCUCUCUUCUUCUAGUGUCCCUUUCCACCGAGUAGGUCCCAGCUCCUGAAAACUUCCCUGUGUCUCUUUUCUUUGUUUUCCUUCACCCACACAUUUCUUCUUACUUCUUAAAUAGAGAUUCUAGCAAUAUCAACAUUUAAAGGAGUUCCCAUCGUGGUGCAGAGGAAAUGAAUCUGACUAGGAACCAUGAGAUUGUGGAUUCGAUCCCUGGCCUUGCCCAGAGGGCUGGGGAUCUGGCGUUGCCAUGAGCUGUGGUAUAGGUUGCAGACGCAGCUCAGAUCUGGCAUUGAUGUGGCUGUGGUGUAGGCCGGCAGCUGUAGCUCCGAUUGGACUGCUAGCCUGGGAACCUCCAUAUGCCACAGGUGCAGCCCUCAAAAAGACAAAGGACCAAAAAAAAAAAAAAAUUUUUUUUAAAUCUUACAGUCAUGUUUGGUAUUUCCUUUUCUUACAUCCCCUAUAACUAAACUGUCCCCAAAUCUAUUUUGUUCUCAGACAGCAUUCAGAAUGAACUUCUUUUCUUUCCUGCUACCUGUUCUCUAGUCCAAAUCCAUAGAUCAUCUGCAGCUUUUCUCUGUCCUCCUGCAAUGAACUAACCUGAUCAAACACAUGAAAAUACAUUUGCUCAGGUUCCAUUCUUGCUUAAAAGUUUUUCGUCAAUUCCUAACUUCCCACCCAGAGUUUUAAAUGGCCUCUUAUACCUAGACCAGCUCUGUAUUUUUCCGAGUUAAUGUCCUAACUCAGACCUCACAACUCACACAAAGCCUUACCAUCUUGCCUUUGUUCUUGAUGUAUGGCUGUAUAUCCUUUGUUUAUUCAAAUCCUACUCAUGUUUGAAGAUUCCCUUCCCAAUCCCAUCCCUACCUUAUAUAUUUCAAGCCUAAACUCUCUCUCUCUCAUAGCACAGUUAAGAACCCAGUUGCUUCAAGUAUGUUUGUUUAUUUGCUUGUGUACAUUUGUUUACUAAAUUUGACUUGAACUCAUAGGAAUAGACAGGACUCUAUUUUACAUGUUAUUGUGUCCUUUCACAGAGCCAAAGCCAAGUCUGGACAUACAGAAGCUAUUACGGUUUACUGAACAGGACGACAGCUAAGAACUUGGGCUGGGGAGAUAUCAGCCUCAUUGUGAGAUAUCAAAGCAAAUUUAAAAAUUUCUCUAGGAUUUUGUUUGUAAAUGUGAGUUGUGGGGUCACCAUGAAGACUAAGUAGUAUAAGGCAUAUAAAGUACUGAGUGUAAUGUGUCUGGCAUUUUAUAGCCUGAGCAUUUUUAAGAAUCAAGUACAAAGAGCAUUUUGGGUCAUCUAUCCCAACACCUCCAUUCCACAAACAAGAACAUUAAGUUCCAGAGAGAUUAAUUAAACUGAAAGACUAGAUCUUCCUUCUGGGAGAAGUAGCUGGUGACUUUCUCAAGAUACUUAUUGUCUUGGAGCUGACUAAGGACCCAAACUCUUGACUCUCAGUCCAUGGCUCUUUUUGCAAUAUUCCAGUGCUACUAGAAUUAAUUUGGAAGUUGGGAAACCUUCAAGUGACCGACAAAAUUCUAAAUCAGUGGUUGUACUUGGGAU
rnacentral:lncRNA from 1 species